UACGUAGGGUGCGAGCGUUAAUCGGAAUUACUGGGCGUAAAGCGUGCGCAGGCGGUUGUGUAAGACAGGUGUGAAAUCCCCGGGCUUAACCUGGGAACUGCGCUUGUGACUGCACGGCUAGAGUACGGCAGAGGGGGGUGGAAUUCCACGUGUAGCAGUGAAAUGCGUAGAUAUGUGGAGGAACACCGAUGGCGAAGGCAGCCCCUGGGCCGAUACUGACGCUCAUGCACGAAAGCGUGGGGAGCAAACAGGAUUAGAAACCCUGGUAGU
rnacentral:rRNA from 1 species